ensembl:lncRNA
GACCGGUUAACAACAUGCUCUCUGCGACCCUCAGAUUCUUUCCUUUAUUUAUAUAUUUAUUCAUUCAUUUUUGCAGCAGGUUGCAUCAGCAGAGAGCCAAGCCGUGCCACCUGACCACCGCCUUUCACACCACACUUAUUCAAAACCGGCCAAUGUGCAGACCUCCUCCUGUGGUGGUCAGGUAUGAUGGCCGAGUGCAACGUGGGAGGCGGACAUUUUGUUUCCCCUAACACACCAACAGCUGCUCCCCGGCUGGCUAGCCAACAUGAGACAAUCCGCCUUGCUCAAUGCCACCAGCCAAGGGUGUGUGCGUUUAUUUUUACCCACCAUGUAUGGGAAUCAGAUGUCCCCACAAUGUCAUACACACCAAUGUUGUGAUUCAUCGCCGGACUCUACAAGCGCUGCUUGCACUGGUACCACCAUCUCUCAAGGAACUCAUCUAUUCAUCUAGUGUCUUCUCUGUACUGGCUCCUAGGUGGUGGAAUGAACUUCCACUAGAUGUCCGAACAGCUGGGUCAUAAAAGAUCAUCAAACGCAAACUGAAAACCUUCCUGUUGGAUAAAAUAUAUCCCUUACAUACACUCUCUGUUUUCAAUAUAUAUAUAAAAAAUGAUAUUGAUAUGCGAACUGUAUCUACAGAUGGGGUAGUGAACCAAACAAGGGUUUUCAAUGUCGGAUAUUUAGAUAAAAUGGAUAAAAGCAUCUGCCAAAUACUGUAAAUGUAAAUUACAAUCCCAAUUUUCUCAUGUUCACUGCAUAAUACAGCACGUAUUAAAAUGUUUUGAUUAAUAUUUCCCAUUUUGACCUUGCGUAUGUUUUUGCUUCAUGUCUUCGGCUGAAUGACAUUUAUCAAAUGUGAU